CUCGGCGGAUCAGCCCGCGCCCCGUAAAACGGGACGGCCCGCCGAGGACCCAAACUCUAAUGUUUCUUAUUGUAACUUCUGAGUAAAACAAACAAAUAAAUCAAAACUUUCAACAACGGAUCUCUUGGUUCUGGCAUCGAUGAAGAACGCAGCAAAAUGCGAUAAGUAAUGUGAAUUGCAGAAUUCAGUGAAUCAUCGAAUCUUUGAACGCACAUUGCGCCCGCUGGUAUUCCGGCGGGCAUGCCUGUUCGAGCGUCAUUUCAACCCUCAAGCCCCCGGGUUUGGUGUUGGGGAUCGGCUCUGCCUUCUGGCGGUGCCGCCCCCGAAAUACAUUGGCGGUCUCGCUGCAGCCUCCAUUGCGUAGUAGCUAACACCUCGCAACUGGAACGCGGCGCGGCCAUGCCGUAAAACCCCAACUUCUGAAUGUUGACCUCGGAUCAGGUAGGAAUACCCGCUGAACUUAAGCAUAUCAAUAAGCGGAGGA
rnacentral:rRNA from 1 species